AAAGCGAGCGGCGGAUGGGUGAGUAACACGUGGGGAACCUGCCCCUAAGUCUGGGAUACCAUUUGGAAACAGGUGCUAAUACCGGAUAAUAAAGCAGAUCGCAUGAUCAGCUUUUGAAAGGCGGCGUAAGCUGUCGCUAAGGGAUGGCCCCGCGGUGCAUUAGCUAGUUGGUAAGGUAACGGCUUACCAAGGCGACGAUGCAUAGCCGAGUUGAGAGACUGAUCGGCCACAUUGGGACUGAGACACGGCCCAAACUCCUACGGGAGGCAGCAGUAGGGAAUCUUCCACAAUGGACGCAGGUCUGAUGGAGCAACGCCGCGUGAGUGAAGAAGGUUUUCGGAUCGUAAAGCUCUGUUGUUGGUGAAGAAGGAUAGAGGUAGUAACUGGCCUUUAUUUGACGGUAAUCAACCAGAAAGUCACGGCUAACUACGUGCCAGCAGCCGCGGUAAUACGUAGGUGGCAAGCGUUGUCCGGAUUUAUUGGGCGUAAAGCGAGCGCAGGCGGAAAAAUAAGUCUAAUGUGAAAGCCCUCGGCUUAACCGAGGAACUGCAUCUGAAACUGUCUUUCUUGAGUGCACAAGAGGAGAGUGGAACUCCAUGUGU
rnacentral:rRNA from 1 species